ACAGGUCGCACCAUAUAAUUCCAGCUGAUCUGGAAUCCGUAAACACAAAUAACAAACGACAAAAAAAAGAUAUAGACUUGUAGUCGCCCCGGACGCCCCUUCCUUCCAGAGAUCCGGAACCUCAUCCUCGGCGGAUCUCCCCUUGGCAGGCGGACUUCGCCUGCUAUACACCAAUCAAGCGACGACGAAAAAAGAAGAACGGCGAACAACUGUGAGGACAACGAUUAUUUCGAACGGGGAUAAGAGUACAUAAAUUGUAAAUAAUUAUACUAACGGACCGUCAUUUCCUUCAGCACAACAUCCUACCUACUUGGAGCUCCAAUCAGGGGAAGGGGCUGAGACGAGACGUUCGAUUUUUAAACCAACAGGUUAUAACCCUACAAACACAACCGGCCUUUGCAGCGCAGCCACAUACGUAUAUCCUUUUUUUGUUUAGAUUUAAAUUAGGUUAUUUCUCUGUAAUUGCUUGGGCUCAUGAAUGUAAAUUUCUACAUCAUUGUGAA